rnacentral:rRNA from 1 species
UACGGAGGGAGCUAGCGUUGUUCGGAAUUACUGGGCGUAAAGCGCGUGUAGGCGGCAAGGCAAGUCGGAUGUGAAAGCCCGCGGCUCAACCGUGGAAGUGCACUCGAAACUGCCUAGCUAGAGUCUCGGAGAGGAAGGUGGAAUGCUUGGUGUAGAGGUGAAAUUCGUAGAUAUCAAGCAGAACACCUGUGGCGAAGGCGGCCUUCUGGACGAUGACUGACGCUGAGACGCGAAAGCGUGGGGAGCAAACAGG